UACGUAGGGUGCAGGCGUUAAUCGGAAUUACUGGGCGUAAAGCGUGCGCAGGCGGUGAUGUAAGACAGAUGUGAAAUCCCCGGGCUCAACCUGGGAACUGCAUUUGUGACUGCAUCGCUGGAGUGCGGCAGAGGGGGAUGGAAUUCCGCGUGUAGCAGUGGAAUGCGUAGAUAUGCGGAGGAACACCGAUGGCGAAGGCAAUCCCCUGGGCCUGCACUGACGCUCAUGCACGAAAGCGUGGGGAGCAAACAGG
rnacentral:rRNA from 1 species